GGUCUGCGUCCGUGCACGGCUGAGCGCGGCAGGAAGCCUGUAGGUCAGGAGCAGGAGGUGGUGGGCGGAGCUGAACAGCAGCACAAGCUUCAGGACAGAAGACAGGAAGGACAGCAGGUGGACAGACAGACGGACAAAAGCUGCUCAUGGUCAGAAGCAUGCGGGAGUGAAGCAGGUGUGUGUGUGUGUGUGUGUGUGUGUGUGUGUGUGUGUGUGUGUGUGUGUGUGUGUGCAGGAAUACCUGCGUCAGCUGGAGCUCAUCAGGCAGGAGUACCACCGAGACGUGAGGCUGAUGAGGCAGAGACCUGCAGCACAGCUCCAACGUGGAACCUUUGUGGUGGAGAAACCUGGACACCCAGAGGCGUCUGUAGUGCCGGAUGUUGAAGCAGCUCUGCAGCAGAUCAGGGAGGACAGCAGCGACCAGAGAAGACCGCAGCUCAAGAGAGGAAUCACGUUUGAAGUUUGCUUAAACGAUGAAGAGGAGGUCAAAGAGGAGAGCGGACCCACAGAGGAGGACGGGAAGAGGAUGAACCUGGAGGAGUGGUUUCGGGUGAGAAGAGGGUGGAGCAUGAGGUGUCCUCAGACGGCGCUGGACGCCCUCGCGGACAUGGACGUCAACUCGGCGUCCCACACGGCCGCUGGAGCUGCAGAAGGUGCAGGACGGGUCUGCGUUUGA
rnacentral:lncRNA from 1 species